CGGGUAGAGCAGACAAUCGCGUAAGCCUCCGGCUUAUGAGGAAAGUCCGGGCUCCGCAGGGCAAGGGUGCCGGAUAACGUCCGGCGUAGGUAACUAUAGGGAAAGUGCAACAGAAACAUUCCGCCGAAACAGUACGGCUGUGGUAAGGUUGAAAUGGUGAGGUAAGAGCUCACCGGCAGUAUGGAGACAUGCUGGCCGUGUAAACCCCACCCGGAGCAAGACCAAAUAGGGCAAGGAAGGCGGCUGCCCGUCGCCUGCCCGGAAGGUAGGUCGCUGGAGCCUGCCAGCAAUGGCAGGUCGAGAUAGAUGAUUGUUUAAUACAGAACCCGGCUUAUAGCUCUGCCCGGGUA
rnacentral:RNase_P_RNA from 1 species